rnacentral:rRNA from 1 species
UACGUAGGGGGCAAGCGUUGUCCGGAAUUAUUGGGCGUAAAGAGCGCGUAGGCGGUCCGAUAAGUCGGCUGUGAAAGUCCAGGGCUCAACUCUGGAAUGCCGGCCGAUACUGUCGGACUAGAGUCCGGAAGAGGCAAGUGGAAUUCCCGGUGUAGCGGUGAAAUGCGUAGAUAUUCGGAGGAACACCAGUGGCGAAAGCGACUUUCUGGGGCAUUCCUGACGCUGAGGUUCGAAAGCUCGGGGAGCAAACAGG